UACGUAGGGGGCAAGCGUUGUCCGGAUUUACUGGGCGUAAAGAGCGCGCAGGCGGUCGUACAAGUCGCGUGUGAAAGCCCCUGGCUCAACUGGGGAGGGUCACGCGAUACUGUUCGACUCGAAGGCAGGAGAGGGAAGUGGAAUUCCCGGUGUAGUGGUGAAAUGCGUAGAUAUCGGGAGGAACACCAGUGGCGAAGGCGACUUCCUGGCCUGUUCUUGACGCUGAGGCGCGAAAGCUAGGGUAGCAAACGGG
rnacentral:rRNA from 1 species